rnacentral:rRNA from 1 species
AUGCGCACCCCCCAGAAAAUCAAGGGAAGUGCGGCUAGACCUCAUGCAAAAGUCUGGUUACCACCCCCCGGCGAUGUAGCAAAGAUUAACUGUGAUGGUGGCCUAUCAACUUUGGGGGAAAAGGGAGCAGCUGGAGCUGUAUGUCGGGAUAAAAAUGGGAAAUACUUAGGUGCGUCGGCGGUGGUGUACGACGGCCUCACUGACCCGGCAAGCUUGGAGGCUCAAGCAUGCAGCGAGGCACUAGCCCUCGCACGGGAUCUGAACCUACAGGAGCUUGUGAUUGCCUCAGACUAUGCCGAAGUAAUAUCUAACAUCGGCAACGCAGGGUCGCCAUCUUAUGCUCCCAUUCUGAGGGAAAUUCAAACUAGUAGGGCAAACUUUACCUCUGUUUCUUUCCGUUUUGAAAGUAGAGUUAAUAAUUUUGAGGCCCAUUCGCUUGCUAAGGGAGCUGCGUCUCUCGCGGUGGGUCGCCAUGUGUGGCUAGGGGUUCUCCGAGAUAUUGCUUGUAUUCCGGAUGUUUUGAACUUUGAAUAA